rnacentral:rRNA from 1 species
CCCGACCUCAGAUUAGUCUGGAUU